AGCAGCUCCAUUCGCUCGCUUUCGAGACAUUGCCGCUGUUGGCGCGCCCACGAAGCGCGGAGGCCGCCACCUGGCGCCGGCGCUUGUCUCCUCCCAACCUCCCCUUUCAACCAUUGAAUGAGCUUCCUCCUCCUCCUUUCAUCAGGGCUGCUCGCUUCUCGUGUGUGCACGCGUCUGUUGCUGACGCGUAGUCAGAACAUUCUUCCCGUCAUGUCGACCACGUACAAGCCAGCCUUCUACAAGAAGAUCAUUCAUCUUAUCAAGGACGCCGUCCUGAUUGUUACCCGUGACAUCCUGACUGUCGUCGCCCUCGUGGGCUUCUUCCUGACACCCGGCGCGGCCCUGCCGUACACCAAAGCCUACGUUCCCAACAAGUACACCCUAACCAACUCCAACUGCUCAUCGCGAGCGUUGAGGAUCCUCAUGUCGCUCUGGCUGCUUCCCAUGACUGUGCCGGUGCUCUUUUUGUUCGUGUUCAUCCCUCCUUUGUGCAUUCCCUUCGGUUGGAAGUAUCGUAAGGUGGAAGAGAACUAUGAGGUCGGCCCCAAGACGCAAGUUAGGCUGGAUUCGCCGUUUUUCUUGAGAAAGUACAAGCUUUAAGUUUCAGGAAGGUAGAGACGAUGAAUACUCUUCAGAAGAUAAACCCUCUCUUCAAGGAAAUAUCGCUUCGUGUAUUGUCACAUGCACCGAGCACAUGGCAUCGUCCGCUCACAAAAUGCAGUGACAUUUGCUUCCAUAACAUAUUUAUUGGACUCGAAUAUGCAAAUAUAUUUCAAUCAACUUCUCGGUCACCACGUGGACGCAGCCUGGCUUACAGGACCAACACAUUCUCCGAGACAUUCUGCGUCGACCAGGCAACUUUGUGAUAAUUUCAUGCAUCCGCGCUUUUACUACUUUUUUUUUUUUCCUUCUCGUUUUGAUACACAUACUCAGAGAGACUAAACAAGUAUUUAAGCAAACGUAUCUUUUCAGUUGUGUACAACUACCUGGAGAGUGCUCUGCAUUAUCAGCAAUUUCAAGUUCCUUUCUCUCUCUUGCGGUAAACAAUCAGGACUGCUGUGGAACUCUGGAGGUCUUCUGGGGCGUAACAUUGUGCAACGAUUUUCACCAGUUUCUUUUUUAUACUGCCGAAAAAUAAAACUUUCUUGUCAGUGUGG